rnacentral:rRNA from 1 species
CAGCCGCCGCGGUAAUACGAAGGGUGCAAGCGUUAAUCGGAAUUACUGGGCGUAAAGCGUGCGUAGGUGGUGGUUUAAGUCCGUUGUGAAAGCCCUGGGCUCAACCUGGGAAUUGCAGUGGAUACUGGAUCACUAGAGUGUGGUAGAGGAUAGUGGAAUUUCCGGUGUAGCAGUGAAAUGCGUAGAGAUCGGAAGGAACAUCUGUGGCGAAGGCGACUAUCUGGGCCAACACUGACACUGAGGCACGAAAGCGUGGGGAGCAAACAGGAUUAGAUACCCCCGUAGUCCCUGUCUCUUAUAC